rnacentral:ncRNA from 1 species
CUGACGGGCGCGUCCGGGUCAAUUGCGGACUGCAACACCCGAUCUCCCUACCGGUGCCGCAGACGUUGGCGGUGUCGGAAGGGGAACGCGUCACCAUCAG